CCUACGGGGUGCAGCAGUGAGGAAUAUUGGUCAAUGGACGAGAGUCUGAACCAGCCAAGUAGCGUGAAGGAUGACUGCCCUAUGGGUUGUAAACUUCUUUUAUAUGGGAAUAAAAUGUUCCACGUGUGGGAUUUUGUAUGUACCAUAUGAAUAAGGAUCGGCUAACUCCGUGCCAGCAGCCGCGGUAAUAUGGAGGAUCCGAGCGUUAUCCGGAUUUAUUGGGUUUAAAGGGAGCGUAGGUGGAUUGUUAAGUCAGUUGUGAAAGUUUGCGGCUCAACCGUAAAAUUGCAGUUGAAACUGGCAGUCUGGAGUACAGUAGAGGUGGGCGGAAUUCGUGGUGUAGCGGUGAAAUGCUUAGAUAUCACGAAGAACUCCGAUUGCGAAGGCAGCUCACUGGACUGCAACUGACACUGAGGCUCGAAAGUGUGGGUAUCAAACAGGAUUAGAUACCCCAGUAGUC
rnacentral:rRNA from 1 species